CCCUUAGAUGUCCUGGGCCGCACGCGCGCUACACUGAUGCAUUCAACGAGUUUUACCUUGGCCGAGAGGCCUGGGCAAUCUUUUAAACCUGCAUCGUGAUAGGGAUAGAUUAUUGCAAUUAUUAAUCUUGAACGAGGAAUUCCUAGUAAACGCAGAUCAUCAAUCUGCAUUGAUUACGUCCCUGCCCUUUGUACACACCGCCCGUCGCACCUACCGAUUGAAUGGUCCGGUGAAGCCUCGGGAUUGUGGCCAGUUCACUUUAUUGGGAGUUGGCUGCGAGAACUUGUCUAAACCUCAUCAUUUAGAGGAAGGUGAAGUCGUAACA
rnacentral:rRNA from 1 species